GUCAUGUUUUGCCUGACAGCUUUCAGGCCCCUGAACGAGAUGGAGUUGAGCAGGAUUCUUGUAGUCCGACAACGCUGUCGGCAGCCAUCUUAAAAAAACUCCACCCUUUUAGUGCACAGGCUCUUAUGGAAGUAUUUUUUCAAAGUAAUUUUUGUCUUAACUGGAUUACAAUUUCGACCAAAGAAAAAUAAUGAAAAAUACUACAUAAUUCAGAUUGUCAUGUGCGAGGAGGAAUUUGUGGAAAAUGCUGUAAUCCAAUUAUUCGACCUCUCCAACCUUGUUAUUGGUCUGUUACAAUACAUAGCAAAUUCUUUCUUCAGUGAGACGUACUCUGCAUUCAUUUUUUCAAGUUGUGCUGUUAACUUUUCGAUUUCUUUUUGCAACUCACUCACCAAUUGGGGUGAGUGUUCACUUGAUGACGGUUCUUCGUCGACCAGGCUGUGGCACGGUUUCGAUGUUGACAGGUCCAUUUGAGAAUCUUGAAGUUCUUCAGCAAGUAGAACUUCACUUGAAUUCAGAUUUUCAUUAACUUCAAAGGGAUGAGGACUGUGUAUCGUAAUGUUGCUAUUAUCUUCCUUCUUGGGUUGGGUAUAGUUUGCUAAAGUGUUCAUAAACAUAGCCUCUGCAACAACAAUACAAUAAUAAAUAUAUGAAAUGUCUUUGAACUUGUAAUGUAUACCUCAGUUGUAGGUAUACAACACUCUUCUUUGUAAACGAACGAAAUUCAAAAUGACUACCUUUGUUUCCCUCUAUUGCCCUAUUAUCUUCCUUCAAAUUCCAGACCGAAUAGCCACAACGCCAGCUUAACAUGCGCAGCUCAAAGCUCUACAAUGCAAAAGCUACCCCCGUUACUACUCCUGGUGUACUUCAUGGUAACGCCUACCCGUCAUAGGAGGUAUUCAAGUUUACAGGCCUUAACCAUUAAUUAGGCCAGGACAUAGCAGACCGUUCCAUGUUCAAACUUAGUCUCCAUCACCUAGGCCAACCCUCUGGCUCUUUAAAUGAGUCAUACGGUUGGCCUAGGACAACCUUUUUCAAUGCCUGAUUUUACAAGAAAUCACGGGAUGCCACCUUCUUUUGUUUCAAGCAGAUGAUCAGCUGGUUGAAGUUUGUUUUGUUCUUUUCUUUAUUGUCUAUUUCGAAACGUUAUUUAAAUGGGAAUUUUGUUUUUACUGUGUUGGUUGCGUUUUCCCUCCACAAUGGAAAUUACACUGUUGGAUACCGAAAGAAAAACAUUGGGGCAUUAUUUUAAAAAUCAACACACUUAUCAAACAGGUAUCGGAAUCUCACUGGUUUGAAAACGGGGCAACAACCAGCAACUGAACAGUCAGUUGGAAAACAACUUUCCAAGCCUACUAUACAAUUAGGGAUAUACCUUUUAAAUCUUAUUAGGACGUGCAGUACUGGACCGCUAAAGGACGUUAUAAGGACGCGCUUAAGCCACGGUCCUUUUUAAAAAUAAAUCACGUCCCUGAGAAGAAGUCUUAUUUCGAUCCAUUUCUUUAAAAGCCACGUUGCCACAAUUAACAGUGUAGCGUUGGGGUUCAAUUUUUCAAGAAUUACGUACACCACAUCAAAUAAUAAUCUAGAAUUUCUUUUUGAAUACGUAGUGAUUGGUUAACAAGAAGAAGCUCAGUCUAUGAUGCGGGAGUCCAAUGAUCGAAACUUAUAAUAGUUAUAUUUAUCUUCUGGUAUUUUGGUCAAAGAGCGCAAGGUGUAGAUUUAUUAAAGGCUAAAUUUU
rnacentral:lncRNA from 1 species